UACGUAGGGGGCAAGCGUUAUCCGGAUUUACUGGGUGUAAAGGGAGCGUAGACGGCGAAGAAAGUCUGAAGUGAAAGCCCGCGGCUCAACUGCGGUAGUGCAUUUGGAACUGUAUGGCUGGAGUGUCGGAGAGGCAGGCGGAAUUCCUAGUGUAGCGGUGAAAUGCGUAGAUAUUAGGAGGAACACCAGUGGCGAAGGCGGCCUGCUGGGCUUUUACUGACGCUGAGGCUCGAAAGUGUGGGGAGCAAACAGG
rnacentral:rRNA from 1 species